rnacentral:misc_RNA from 1 species
UGAAGCUCACGCUUGGGCUGCCCACU